AAUCAAGUGCCUUAAGGGUGUUCGGUGGAUGCCUUGGCGCUGAAAGGCGAUGAAGGACGUGCUACGCUGCGAUAAGCCGUGGGGAGCUGCGAAGAAGCUUUGAUCCAUGGAUUUCCGAAUGGGGAAACCCACCUUCGAUAGCCGGAACUCCAAGACCUUUGUCGAAAGACAUCGGGGGUGGGUUCGAUCAAAUGAUGUGAGAAAGCCAGGCCUUUAGAUUUCGAUCGAAGAGGUUUUGGAUUUCCGGUUAUCAAGAGAAGGUAUGAGACUUCUGAAUACAUAGGAGGUUUCAAGCAAACCCAGGGAACUGAAACAUCUAAGUACC
rnacentral:rRNA from 1 species